UGCGUAGGCGGAAUAUUAAGUCAGUGGUGAAAUCCUGCAGCUUAACUGUAGAACUGCCAUUGAUACUGGUCUUCUUGAAUAUAGUUGAGGUGGGCGGAAUGUGUAAUGUAGCGGUGAAAUGCUUAGAUAUUACACAGAACACCGAUUGCGAAGGCAGCUCACUAAACUAUCAUUGACGCUGUGGCACGAAAGCGUGGGGGGCGAACAGGAUUAGAUACCCUGGUAGUCC
rnacentral:rRNA from 1 species